UGGGGAAUAUUGCACAAUGGGGGAAACCCUGAUGCAGCGACGCCGCGUGAACGAAGAAGGUAUUCGUAUCGUAAAGUUCUGUCCUAUGGGAAGAUAAUGACAGUACCAUAGAAGAAAGCUCCGGCUAAAUACGUGCCAGCAGCCGCGGUAAUACGUAUGGAGCGAGCGUUGUCCGGAAUUAUUGGGCGUAAAGGGUACGCAGGCGGUUUAAUAAGUCGAAUGUUAAAGAUCGGGGCUCAACCCCGCAAAGCAUUGGAAACUGAUAAACUUGAGUAGUGGAGAGGAAAGUGGAAUUCCUAGUGUAGUGGUGAAAUAUGUAGAUAUUAGGAGGAAUACCAGUAGCGAAGGCGACUUUCUGGACACAAACUGACGCUGAGGUACGAAAGCGUGGGGAGCAAACAGG
rnacentral:rRNA from 1 species